AUUGAACGCUGGCGGCAGGCUUAACACAUGCAAGUCGAGCGGGGGAAGGUAGCUUGCUACCGGACCUAGCGGCGGACGGGUGAGUAAUGCUUAGGAAUCUGCCUACUAGUGGGGGACAACAUCUCGAAAGGGAUGCUAAUACCGCAUACGUCCUACGGGAGAAAGCAGGGGAUCUUCGGACCUUGCGCUAAUAGAUGAGCCUAAGUCGGAUUAGCUAGUUGGUGGGGUAAAGGCCUACCAAGGCGACGAUCUGUAGCGGGUCUGAGAGGAUGAUCCGCCACACUGGGACUGAGACACGGCCCAGACUCCUACGGGAGGCAGCAGUGGGGAAUAUUGGACAAUGGGGGGAACCCUGAUCCAGCCAUGCCGCGUGUGUGAAGAAGGCCUUAUGGUUGUAAGGCACUUUAAGCGAGGAGGAGGCUACUUUAGUUAAUACCUAGAGAUAGUGGACGUUACUCGCAGAAUAAGCACCGGCUAACUCUGUGCCAGCCGCCGCAGUAA
rnacentral:rRNA from 1 species